rnacentral:rRNA from 1 species
UGUUAAUCUAAUGCUAUUCAUAGGUCGUCUCACUAUUGGCUGUAUUUGAUUUCGUGAGUUUUUGUAUGCAGUGUGUGUAUGCUCUAUGUUAUGUCAAAUCCUUAAAGUUUUUUAACUAUCUUUUUGUUCUUAUAUUUUUUAUUAUGCUGAUGUUUUUAUUUUUAGUUCCUGUAUUUGUAAUAUUUCUGUACAUAGCUUUUUUAGUAUACUGGUGCUUGUAGUUUUUGGUCCCUGCACUUAUAAUAUGCUUGUUCCUAGCUGGUAUAGCAUGGCUGUAUUUGUAUUUGUAUUUUUGUAAAGCAAUUUGCUUGUAUUGGAUUUCUGCAAAUUUUAAAGGGCGCAUGUGUAGUUUAGGUAGAUUUAAACUAUCCUGAUAACCUCUAAACAAAAGAAAU